GGCGGCAUGCCUUACACAUGCAAGUCGAACGGCAGCACGGGGAGGGGCAACUCUCCCUGGUGGCGAGUGGCGAACGGGUGAGUAAUGCAUCGGAACGUGUCCUCUUGUGGGGGAUAACCAGUCGAAAGAUUGGCUAAUACCGCAUGAGAUCGAAAGAUGAAAGCGGGGGACCGCAAGGCCUCGCGCGAGAGGAGCGGCCGAUGCCGGAUUAGCUUGUUGGUGGGGUAAAAGCCUACCAAGGCGACGAUCCGUAGCUGGUCUGAGAGGACGACCAGCCACACUGGGACUGAGACACGGCCCAGACUCCUACGGGAGGCAGCAGUGGGGAAUUUUGGACAAUGGGCGCAAGCCUGAUCCAGCCAUGCCGCGUGUGUGAAGAAGGCCUUCGGGUUGUAAAGCACUUUCGGACGGAACGAAAUCGCGCGGGUUAACAGCGCGCGUGGAUGACGGUACCGUAAGAAGAAGCACCGGCUAACUACGUGCCAGCAGCCGCGGUAAUACGUAGGGUGCGAGCGUUAAUCGGAAUUACUGGGCGUAAAGGGUGCGCAGGCGGCCCCGCAAGUCAGGCGUGAAAUCCCCGGGCUUAACUUGGGAAUGGCGCUUGAAACUACGGGGCUGGAGUGUGGCAGAGGGAGGUGGAAUUCCACGUGUAGCGGUGAAAUGCGUAGAGAUGUGGAGGAACACCGAUGGCGAAGGCAGCCUCCUGGGCCAACACUGACGCUCAUGCACGAAAGCGUGGGGAGC
rnacentral:rRNA from 1 species